CGUGGGGAGAGCCUCUGCCGCUUCUUCUUCUUUGUGUCCCCCAGCCGGGGGGAGGAGACAAAAUCUAGUUUCAGACUCCACCCCCAACCUCGGGACACUCUGCUUCUUCUAGGUGGAAGCCCAGGAGACCCAGCAUGUCCCAGGAGAUGAGGGCCCCAGAGGAACUCAGUCCCAGCCCCUGGAAACCCGUUUCAUUGUUUCCACAACAGCACCAGCCCAGAAACAAGGCAGGAGACUCAACGGGGAGGCAGACUUUGCCAAGUCGCUUUCCUGUCUCAGGGACCUCGGCCUCUUUCCAACUUAAGAUCAAAGAAUUUUCAGAAUAUAAGAGCCCCUGGAAACGACCUGGUGCAAGCUCCUUGAUGUACAAAAGUGGAAAUCGGGGCCCAGAUGGAGGUGAGAAACUUGCUCCAGAUCAUAUGGAUCUGGGACUAGAACCUAGGUCCCUUGACUCCCAGUCCAGGACUCUUUCCCAUAGGCUAUGGGAACGUCAUAAUUUGACAUAACUUUUUCUCUUUUGAAUAUCGACGGUAGAGCUGGCAUUUCUUAUUCCAGCGGUCCUUUUCUGUCCCUGUGACCACUGCUCUGAUUUGGGCUUCCCAAUCUCUUGCCUGGGUAUUGGUCUCACUUGAAGUCUGUCCAGUUCUCAUCUACAAUUCUACCAUCCACACAGCAGCCAGAGGGAUUGUCCUUAACACAGACCUGAUUCUCAUCUCCCCGCUUCACUGCAUAGGCUGUGUGACCCAGAAUCUGUAAUCUGGUUUACAGAUCCCCUCAGGACAGAUCACUGCCCAGCCUCAUCUUCCAGGUAAGAUCUAUAUUCCCCACUACUAAACUUGAUUGAUGCCUCCUCCAGGCAGCUCUCCCACAUCCCUCUGUAGUCAACAGUACUAUAUUAGAGUCUAUCAAGGAGCUCUUCUCAGGGUGGGAGGCUCUGACCCAGCUGUCUGCUCCCUGGAUGGUGAGUGUUUCCGAAGCAGAGGCUGCAUCUGCUCAGUGUCCCUGCCUGCCUCUCUCUCCACCAGACUUGACCUUGCCCUGUACUCUCCAUCAGGCUCGAACUUGCCCAUGUGCAGUUUCCUCCUGUUGGUUCCAGUCAUCUGUCAAUUGUCCUGGGAAGGCAAGGAGCUCAAGGGUGAAUGGCAGGAGAUUCUGAUUCCUCCUCCUGAGUGGGCUCCGUCCUGCCCACUUGGCCCCAUCUCAGAACUGACCUGGGUGAAUCUCUCCAAAAGGUCUCACCUGUGCCAGCUGGGUACUAAGGACCCAAAAGUGAAUCAGAACAUAGAUAUGUGAAAAGAUAUUUAACCUUGUUCAUAAUCAGAGAAAUAUAAAUUAAAAUUAAGCCAAGGGUUAUGUUUAAGUUUAUCAGAUUGGCAAAGCCUCAGAUGUUUGAUAACAUACUCUUUUGGCAAGACUGCGGGAAAUGACGUUCUCCCAUAACUGUGUGUGGUGGGUAUACAAAAAGGGGCAAGCUCUCUGUAGAAGGAAUUUGGUAAUUUCUAGAAAAAUUACAUAUGUGCUUAUUCUUGAACAUUAUUUGUCAUUGCCUUUCUUUGGGAUUGGAAUGAAAAAAGACCUUCUGCUGUCCUGUGGUCACUGCUGUGUUUUCCAUAUUUGCUAGCAUAUUGAGUGCAGCACUUUCACAGCAUCAUCUUUUAGGAUUUUAAAGUCUUAGGUUUUAUUUAAAAUAUCAGUAUGAGCUCUUGGUGUGAAUUUUAUUAAGCCAAAAGUAUUUCCCAGCUCUGCACCCUGAAAUAACCUAGACAUAAUGACAGCCAGAUAGCACUGAGCACUCCUCGCAUCCAGGCUUGUGGUCUCUCAUGUCACUUCUCAUUUAAGGAACCAGAACUUCUUGGAUAAAUAGCUGAUUCCAGAUUUGGGCCAAAAAUGCACAAGACAAAUCUGGACAUCUUGUCAUACCAGAAAGUCAAGAAGCUACUAAACACUGCUUCGGAUUCAGAUCAAAAGGACUCAGAAGUCAAUUAAAGAGAGCUCUACUGGCCAAAAAUGGGAUGAUUUGAUAAUAACUAUAAUAGAGUCGGAGAAGGCAAUGGCACCUCACUCCAGUACUCUUGCCUGGGAAAUCCCAUGGAUGGAGGAGCCUGGUAAGCUACAGUCCUUGGGGCUGCUAAGAGUCGGACACGACUGAGUGACUUCACUUUCACUUUCACUUUCAUGCAUUGGAGAAGGAAAUGGCAACCCACUCCAGUGCUCUUCCCUGGAGAAUCCCAGGGACAGUGGAGCCUGGUGGGCUGCCAUCUAUGGGGUCGCACAGAGUCAGAC
ensembl:lncRNA